rnacentral:rRNA from 1 species
GACGAACGCUGGCGGCGUGCUUAACACAUGCAAGUCGAACGGAAAGGCCCUGCUUUUGUGGGGUGCUCGAGUGGCGAACGGGUGAGUAACACGUGAGUAACCUGCCCUUGACUUUGGGAUAACUUCAGGAAACUGGGGCUAAUACCGGAUAGGAGCUCCUGCUGCAUGGUGGGGGUUGGAAAGUUUCGGCGGUUGGGGAUGGACUCGCGGCUUAUCAGCUUGUUGGUGGGGUAGUGGCUUACCAAGGCUUUGACGGGUAGCCGGCCUGAGAGGGUGACCGGCCACAUUGGGACUGAGAUACGGCCCAGACUCCUACGGGAGGCAGCAGUGGGGAAUAUUGCACAAAGGGCGGAAGCCUGAUGCAGCAACGCCGCGUGCGGGAUGACGGACUUCGGGUUGUAAACCGCUUUCGCCUGUGACGAAGCGUGAGUGACGGUAAUGGGUAAAGAAGCAACGGCUAACUACGUG